CAAAGAUGUAUCAACAUGAGGCUUUGUUCUUAAGUGUGUUAGAACUGAAAGAGGAAGACAGGCAUAGCAGUUGCUCCAUGGUGUUCACUGGGAAAGGAUAGCAAUAAUUCACAUCGUUUGUUGGAUAGCUGUGGGAACAGAGGAAAUACACUUCUACACUCAUGCUAGGAGCUACUGGUGAAAGGCCUAGACCAAGAAAUUUAGAUCAAGGAAAGAAAGACAGAAUCACAGCUCCAAACCCUCACCCCAGCUGGGUUUGCUCUGUCUAUGCUUCCUCGCGCACCAUCUCAGGUACUCCUCAGACAAUGGCUACAAGGAAAAGAUGGCAACCCGAACUGAAGAUGACAAGCUAGUUUUGAAGGGCUUGAGCAUUUGGUUUCAUGCAGCCACCAUGAGGGAUGGCAUCCCUCCCACUUCACCAGAGGCAACCCAGCCUCUACCACCAGAGAGAAAGAUGAUGAGAAGGGUCAGGGGAGUAUCACAUCAGACGGAAACCCUGAGAUUCAUCAUCCUUAGAUCAUCCAAUGAAGAUACAAUGCCAUCUUCCAGAAAUCAGUCCUGGUCUGCAAGUCACCAAUGUCCAGACCAUCAGCCAUCAUGAAGCAGAGCAGCUGGGAUGACCUACAGUUGACCUUGGACACAGACAUGACAAAGAGACAAGCAGAAGAACUCAGUUACUGCCAGG